UUGAGGACUCUAGCGAGACUGCCUGGGUUAACCAGGAGGAAGGUGGGGAUGACGUCAAAUCAUCAUGCCCCUUAUGUGUAGGGCUACACACGUGCUACAAUGGCUGGUACAGAGAGAUGCAAUACCGCGAGGUGGAGCCAAACUUAAAAACCAGUCUCAGUUCGGAUUGUAGGCUGAAACUCGCCUACAUGAAGCUGGAGUUACUAGUAAUCGCGAAUCAGAAUGUCGCGGUGAAUACGUUCCCGGGUCUUGUACACACCGCCCGUCACACCAUGAGAGUUGGCAAUACCCGAAGUCCGUGAGCUAACCGCAAGGAGGCAGCGGCCGAAGGUAGGGUCAGCGAUUGGGGUGAAGUCGUAACAAGGUAGCCGUAGGAGAACCUGCGGCUGGAUCACCUCCUUUCUAAGGAA
rnacentral:rRNA from 1 species